rnacentral:rRNA from 1 species
CCUACGGGAGGCAGCAGUGGGGAAUAUUGCACAAUGGGGGAAACCCUGAUGCAGCAACGCCGCGUGAGCGAAGAAGGCCUUCGGGUCGUAAAGCUCUGUCCUAAGGGAAGAAGCAUGACGGUACCUAAGGAGGAAGCCACGGCUAACUACGUGCCAGCAGCCGCGGUAAUACGUAGGUGGCAAGCGUUGUCCGGAUUUACUGGGCGUAAAUGGAGCGUAGGUGGAUAUUUAAGUGGGAUGUGAAAUACUCGGGCUUAACUUGAGUGCUGCAUUCCAAACUGGAUAUCUAGAGUGCAAGAGAGGAAAGUAGAAUUCCUAGUGUAGCGGUGAAAUGCGUAGAGAUUAGGAAGAAUACCAGUGGCGAAGGCGACUUUCUGGACUGUAACUGACACUGAGGCUCGAAAGCGUGGGGAGCAAACAGGAUUAGAUACCCUGGUAGUC